rnacentral:rRNA from 1 species
UCAGCCUGCCCAGUGACAAAGUUUAACGGCCGCGGUACCCUAACCGUGCGAAGGUAGCAUAAUCACUUGUUCUUUAAAUGAGGACUCGUAUCAACGGCACUACGAGGGCUAUACUGUCUCCUUUUUCCAAUCAGUGAAACUGAUCUCCCCGUGAAGAAGCGGGGAUGAAAAUAUAAGACGAGAAGACCCCAUGGAGCUUUAAACUCACCAUGCACCUCUAUGCCCUUAUACCACUAAACAUAAGACACCUGCAUGAUAGUUUUAGGUUGGGGGGACCACGGAGUAUAAUAUAACCUCCACAACAAAUGGGCUAACACCCUUAUCCACGAGACACAACUCUAAGAAUUAUCAAACUAAUGCUUAUGACCCGAUAUUCGAUCAAUGAACCAAGUUACCCUGGGGAUAACAGCGCAAUCUACUUCAAGAGCCCAUAUCGACAAGUAGGUUUACGACCUCGAUGUUGGAUCAGGGUAUCCCGGUGGUGCAGCCGCUACCAAUGGUUCGUUUGUUCAACGAUUAAAACCCUACGUGA